rnacentral:rRNA from 1 species
UACGGAGGGAGCUAGCGUUGUUCGGAAUUACUGGGCGUAAAGCGCGCGUAGGCGGCUUUGUAAGUUAGAGGUGAAAGCCCGGAGCUCAACUCCGGAACUGCCUUUAAAACUGCAUCGCUUGAAUCCAGGAGAGGUGAGUGGAAUUCCGAGUGUAGAGGUGAAAUUCGUAGAUAUUCGGAAGAACACCAGUGGCGAAGGCGGCUC